rnacentral:rRNA from 1 species
CCCAGACUCCUACGGGAGGCAGCAGUGGGGGAUAUUGCACAAUGGGGGGAACCCUGAUGCAGCGACGCCGCGUGGGUGAAGGAGUGUUUCGGCGCGUAAAGCCCUGUCAGCAGGGAAGAAAAUGACGGUACCUGAAGAAGAAGCCCCGGCUAACUACGUGCCAGCAGCCGCGGUAAUACGUAGGGGGCAAGCGUUAUCCGGAUUUACUGGGUGUAAAGGGGGCGCAGACGGCGAUGCAAGCCAGGAGUGAAAGCCCGGGGCCCAACCCCGGGACUGCUCUUGGAACUGCGUGGCUGGAGUGCAGGAGGGGCAGGCGGAAUUCCUGGUGUAGCGGUGAAAUGCGUAGAUAUCAGGAGGAACACCGGUGGCGAAGGCGGCCUGCUGGACUGCAACUGACGUUGAGGCCCGAAAGCGUGGGGAGCAAACAGGAUUAGAUACCCCGGUAC